rnacentral:sRNA from 1 species
CCGUUUCGAUUUGUUGGGGACAAAUAAAGUGAAUGUGGCUGUCGAUUCCCCCUGCGGUGACGAUCGAUCCUUCGGCGGCGAUCGCUUCGGUGGCGGGGCCGAUAAUAAUAUCGACGUUAUCUUGAAUGUAGGGAUUUCCGGCUUUGCCAAUUUUGCAAAUUUUGCCGUCUUUAAUGCCGAUAUCGGCUUUGACGAUACCCCACCAAUCGAGAAUUAAAGCGUUGGUAAUUACCACGUCCACCGCCCCGUCUUCUCGCGAAAUUGGCGAUUGUCCCAUUCCGUCGCGA